CAGCCCGAAACCGGCACGACUCACUGACCUCGAACCCACGCUCCCACACCCUCCCACCUCCCUCCCGAUCCCAACUCCCCCACCAGCGCUCCAGCUCCUCCCUCCCCCGCCGGCGCUCAGCCUCCUUCCUCCCCUACCCGCACGCCGCCCGCUUGCCCUCCCAUCCCACGCGUCGCCGCCGCCGGCCGGCCACCCCACCCUACCCACGCGCUGUCGCCGCCGACCGGCCGCCCCUUCCUACCCGCGCGCUACCGCCGCCGGCCGCCCCCCCCCCCCCAUCCACCCGCUGCCGCUGCCAGCCGCCCACCCCACCCUUCCCCACGCGCUGUCGCCGACUGCCCUCCCUACCACACGUUGCCGUGACACAACCGCGUCCGUCACCGUCCUUCGCCGCCCAGCCAACCUCCUUCUUCCGCGCCGUCGGCGACCUCCCUCCAUGCAUCGUGCUCCCCCUCCAUCAACGUGUGGGUCAUGGGGUCGUCACCCUCGGCCGCUCCCCCGUGCACCACGCACCUCCGGCGUCGUCGCGACCCAUUGAACAACAAGCAUCCCUUCCUGGAUCCGGUCGCCUCCCUCCCCACUCUGUGACUUCAGGUAUAUACCUGCUGCAAGAGUUCAAAAUCAGCUACUUUCAACUGAAUAAACAAAAUGUGUCAUGCAAGUUCAGGUAUACCUGCUGGGAGAGUUCAAUAAUCUGAAUAAUUGCCAACACCUGAAGGUUGUGUUUUGUCAUCUCAUCCCCACAUCUCCAGUAUGUCCAAUUGCAUCUGGCUUGACAGUUCAUAGACGAAAAAUUGAGCGGUGGUCUCUAAAUAUUCUGCUGAUAUAUGCCUAAAUAGGACCAAAUUUUGCAUGUUUUCUGCUUGUAUGUAUGUGGUUGAAUUAUUUAGCUUUUGAUCGAAGUUCAAACUUUAUAUGUGUGAAGGUUCAAUCAAACUCAGUUUCAUAGCUAUGAGGUAGAGCCAAUUUUCUCGGCUACUGAAACUGAUCAUUUGAUAGGGAAUUCAAAAGAAACAACAUAUAUGAGCAUACGUGAAGUUCAAAGUUCUGGUCCAUGAUAGUAGACAUCCUGCAGUUUUUGGGAAUGAGUAGUUCACCUUUGCUAAGUGUAGCAAGUUCUCUGGUUACAAAAAUGAAUUCACUUUGCAAGAACUCCGGAGGUCAACAAUUUCUUUUUUUUUUGUAGAUGGAGAUGUGUGUGUGUGUGCAUACAUGUGUUCUAGAGACAGGAGAACUUAUCUGGUGGUGUCUGUGUGUGCUGCUGCAUCCUCUUCCGGCCGCUCUAAUUCACACCCUCAGUACAACUUCUGUAUGACCUCGUGUAAAGCAAGCAUGGCCAACACAUAGUUUAGGUGUCGCGGUAGUACUCAUUGUUUAUGGUGGCCUUCUUUUGUACCGCUACCACUUUGUUACCUAGAGUAGUACUGCCACUACUUAUCAUGUUGAUAAAUCCUCGCGAACAGUAUAUGCAUUUGAUUAAUGAUUCUGUAGGGAGAAAAAGUUCACCAAUAUACAAUCUCUAAGUUCGAUGUACCAAUCUUUUUGUUUAGUAGUUGGUACUGCUCAAGUUUAUUUCUUGAUGUACACAUGAUGUCAAAUUUCUUCUUUGAGUUCGGUUCAAUUUAUAAAUUUCAUUCAGUUCAGCGAGGUGGAUAUUGGGGCACGGUGGGGUGUGGCCAUGUGGGUGGAGAUGGCCCGCCACAACGUCGCCAGCCGAAUCCCGCUGCCAUGUGCUCGAUCCAGCAGGUCUCCUCCCUCCCGGUGCUAGCCUCCUCGAGCUCCGUCGCCGACCAACUCCACCCCGGGUCCUGACGUAGCCCCUCAGUUCGACAUGCAUCUGCUGCGUGCUUGCUGUGGCCUGCGUGUGCUGGUGUGUUCGUGCAUGCACGAUAUAACUGAACUGAGCAUUUCUACCAUAUCUGAACCGCAGGUGGGAUGCAUCCUCUACAAAAAAGAUUCUCCGAUGCUCCUCGUCAGCUAGUGGGCCAACACGGGGGUCCUCACUGUGGCCUCCCCCACGAUGAUCUGAGUUGCACUCAUGGAAUUCUCUACUUCCCCACCUAGCAGAUCACGACGGCUCUCCCCCUCCUACUGCUCAGCAUCAUUGAUCUCAAUGACGAAUAGGGACAAAAAUAAACGUGAAUCUUGUCGUCCUCUUGAUGCAACCAAAUCCCAGCGCACCUGGUAGUUCAAACUUACAUUGGAUGGCCGGCGACCAACUGCCCCGCCUCUACAAGCUCCUCAGGGAUGACUUGGUAAUAGUUGGGAUCCCCUACAGCGGCCAAAUCCCGGCGCCCCCAGCCGCCUCUCGUGGUCCCCGCUCCUUCAGCUCCACUUCACCGGCGCUGUCAGUCCACAGGAGUAGGGGAGGCGUGCCCAUCAACAAACAAGAACAUAGGGUAUGUGCUUGGAAACUUAAAAUUCCGUACACAUUUGGGAAACAGAAGUUGUAGCUUGUUUCAAAGUUCAAAACGAAAAAGAUAUUCAGUUCAACUUGUUCUAGCAAACCAUGUGUGAGACACCAUAGAGUGAAAAUGUUGCUGUGUUGCCAUGUCUCUUAUUGGUUCAACUACAAAUAAUUACAUCCCUUCGACUACAUAUAUUACACUAGUUCAACUGUGUGCGUCACACCAAUGGACCUAAGUUUUACAUAUGUUAUCAGUUUGAAAAAACUUUGGAUUUUGAUGAUGCAAGCUGUAUCUACAUAGUUCUUUUUUCUAUUUCCUAUAAGUUCAAGUGAGCAAUUUCUAUAAGUUGGCGGGUUGUUUACCCAGGCAGUUAAAAAAAGUGGUCAUUGUUGUCUCUUUUAAAAGAUGUUCGAGUGAUUCUUGUCAAAAUGCUGCCAAUGUUAAGAGAAGAACUCCUUCCUCCAUUGGCUGUCUCAGUUCAUCUGGUUAAACAUCUCAGUGCAACUAUAUUGACUAUGCCUGGAACAGUAACAUGGUGACGGUUGUGUUUCAUACAUCCAAGCAAUAUGAUGCUUGCAACGGAGUAUUGUACCAAGCUACAAUUUGCAUUGAAAUGCCGCUACCACUAUGUAUUUGUACUUAAACGAACUUGUAGAAACAACUCUUUCUAUCUCACUCGUACUUCUAUUUUUUGUAUGGGGCAUCUUCUAGCAUAUGAUUGUAACUCAUUUUCCUUUAGAUAACUACUCCCUCCGUUCCGAAUUACUUGUCGCAGGUAUGGAUGUAUCUAGAUGUAUUUUAGUUCUAGAUACAUCCAUUUCUGCGACGAGUAAUUUGGAACGGAGGGAGUACUUAUUAAAAAGAUAUAUCAGUCGGCAUGUUAAAUUUCAAUUUCCCAUUUUAAAGUUCAGAUUUUGCUGCAUCUAAAGUGCACCUAUGCUAAUUCUUGUCAUCGAAGGGAGAAGCAGCAGGGACACAGUACGCGUCGGUGUCUAUAUUCAGCUUUAUUUUUGUUUUGAAGUUGAUGUGAAAGAGCUUUUGAAAGCAAACAUCAGUCCAGUUUCGUUUUGUAUCAGCUGCUCCAAGGAAUGAAGUACAUGCAGCAAAUGUUUUCCAUCGGGAUCUGAAGCCCAAGAAUAUUCUAGCGAAUGUUGACUGCAAGAUGAAAUUUGUGAUUUUGGACUUGCCCGUGUACCAUUUAAUGACGGGGCUCCAUCAGCCAUAUUCAGAAGUUUAAUUUUGUGAAGAAGUAUGCAAAAUUUCAAUGCAGAUGUGGAGAACCAAAAAGUUCUAACGACGGUGAAUCACAAGUUCAAGGACAGCAAUCCGGGGGCAUGGGGGCAUCUGCUGAUGCAAAUCUUGGUACUGAUGUGUUCAAGUCAAAGGACUUCGGUGUGUUUGUUGUAACCCAUAAAAUGGAAAAUGUUCUCUGGUGCCUAAUCUUGUUUCCACUUAUGUUUAUAUGUGGUUGUGUUUGUUGUAACCCAUAAAAUGGAAUAAUGCCUCCAAUGCGCAUGUAGCGACCUGACCUCGAACGGUUAAGUCUUUGU